rnacentral:rRNA from 1 species
UUUAUACGAGAGUUUGAUCCUGGCUCAGGAUGAACGCUGGCGGCGUGCUUAACACAUGCAAGUC